ensembl:lincRNA
AUGACCACAUCAUUUGAUGGAUCAAGCCAGGGACUGCAAGUCUGUGUUUCUGAGAGACACAUAAAGAAAAGAAGGCUUAAGGAAUCCAGAAAGAUCCAGAGUGGGGAAAUGAAACGAAAAGAAAUCCAGCCAGUGGGAAGUCGUGAAGGGAUAGUUAAACGCGUUUUGGGAGGAAAGAAAAAAGCAAAAGUGCGGUACAGCCUUUCAUUACACGUGAAAAGAAUCAUGUUUCUUUUUCUAGUUAGAAAAAGCCAAAGAUUGUGCGAUUUAUGCCCCAAACCCCCUUCUAAGGGGAUUCUCACCUCAACUUGUCUUCUGUGGUGUUUCCCGCCCCUGAAUCAGGGUUACUGUCACUAUGGCUUUCAAUUGGCCCGGCGUAGGCGCAUGCUCUGCGCGUAUUGGCCUCCGCUCCUGUCCCCAGACAAGCGGCCAUCUUGGGUCCCGCCCCUACCGUGGGGUCUUCUGGGAAUUGCAGUCCCCACUCCGCUCUGUCCCGUCACAGGAGUUUUUGCCCUCUGUUCCCGGGUCCCUCAGGCGGCCACCCAGUGGGCACACUCCCAGGCGGCACUCCGGCCCCGCGCUCCCUCCCUCUGCCUUUCAUUCCCAGCUGCCAACAUCCUGGAAGCUUUGAAGCUCAGGAAAGAAGAGAAAUCCACUGAGAACAGUCUGUAAAGACAUCCGCAGAAGCUGUUCUGGAAAACUUUCUGACCCUGAAGCACCUCAAAAAUUUUGAUCGCGUUCUCCUUGCUGUGAGUCAUCCCACACUGGAGCUCUGGAGGACUCUCUAGCAG